rnacentral:rRNA from 1 species
GACGAACGCUGGCGGCGCGCCUAACACAUGCAAGUCGAACGGGAUCUAUUAGAGAGCUUGCUCUUUGGCAGAUCUAGUGGCGGACGGGUGAGUAACACGUGAGCAACCUGCCUUUCAGAGGGGGAUAACGUUUGGAAACGAACGCUAAUACCGCAUAACAUACCGAGGUGGCAUCAUUUUGGUAUCAAAGGAGAAAUCCGCUGGAAGAUGGGCUCGCGCCCGAUUAGAUAGUUGGUGGGGUAAUGGCCCACCAAGUCUGCGAUCGGUAGCCGGACUGAGAGGUUGAUCGGCCACAUUGGGACUGAGACACGGCCCAGACUCCUACGGGAGGCAGCAGUGGGGAAUAUUGCACAAUGGGGGAAACCCUGAUGCAGCGACGCCGCGUGAGUGAAGACGGCCUUCGGGUUGUAAAGCUCUGUCGCAGGGGACGAUAAUGACGGUACCCUGUGAGAAAGCCACGGCUAACUACGUGCCAGCAGCCGCCGUAAAAC